rnacentral:rRNA from 1 species
CAAUAAGCGGAGGAAAAGAAACUAACAAGGAUUCCCCUAGUAACUGCGAGUGAAGCGGGAAAAGCUCAAAUUUAAAAUCUGGCGGUCUUUGGCCGUCCGAGUUGUAAUCUAGAGAAGUAAUGCCCGUGCUGGACCGUGUAUAAGUCUCCUGGGAUGGGGCGUCAUAGAGGGUGAGAAUCCCGUCUUUGACACGGACUACCAGUGCAUUGUGGUAUGCUCUCAAAGAGUCGAGUUGUUUGGGAAUGCAGCUCAAAAUGGGUGGUAAAUUCCAUCUAAAGCUAAAUAUUGGCGAGAGACCGAUAGCGAACAAGUACCGUGAGGGAAAGAUGAAAAGAACUUUGGAAAGAGAGUUAAACAGUACGUGAAAUUGCUGAAAGGGAAACGCUUGAAGUCAGUCGCGUUGGCCGGGGAUCAGCCUUGCUUUUGCAUGGUGUACUUUCUGGUUGACGGGUCAGCAUCAAUUUUGACCGCUGGAAAAGGGCCUGGGGAAUGUGGCAGCUUCGGCUGUGUUAUAGCCCCUGGUCACAUACGGCGGUUGGGAUUGAGGAACUCAGCACGCCGCAAGGCCGGGUUUCGACCACGUUCGUGCUUAGGAUGCUGGCAUAAUGGCUUUAAGCGACCCGUCUUGAAACACGGACCAAGGAGUCUAACAUGCCUGCGAGUAUUUGGGUGAAAAACCCGAGUGCGCAAUGAAAGUGAAAGUUGAGAUCCCUGUCGUGGGGAGCAUCGACGCCCGGACCAGAACUUUUGGGACGGAUCCGCGGUGGAGCAUGUAUGUUGGGACCCGAAAGAUGGUGAACUAUGCCUGAAUAGGGUGAAGCCAGAGGAAACUCUGGUGGAGGCUCGUAGCGAUUCUGACGUGCAAAUCGAUCGUCAAAUUUGGGUAUAGGGGCGAAAGACUAAUCGAACCAUCUAGUAGCUGGUCUGC